rnacentral:lncRNA from 1 species
CCACAGCUCACGGCAACACCAGAUCCUUAACCCACAGAUCAAGGCCAGAGAUUGAACCCAAAACCUCAUGGUUGCUUGUCGGAUUCAUUUCUGCUGCACCACAGCGGGAACUUCUAAACUGCUUUAAAAAACACAGUGUUUUGGACCCAGUAUAACAGCCAUCAGCCACACAUGAUAAUUUAAAUUUAACGUAAAAUCAAAAUUAAAAGUUGGUUCUUCAAGAAUCCUGCUGUGGUGCAACGGGAUCAGCAGCAUCUUUGGAGCAUUGGGAUGCAGUUCCAGUCCUCAUUCCGGCACAGUGGGUUAAGGAUCUGGCAUUACCACAGUUACGGCUUCGGUCAGCGCUGGCUCAGAUCUGUUCCCUGGCUCCAGGAACUCCAUAUGCUGUAGGGCAGCCAAAAAGGAAGGAAAAAAAAAGUUCUUCAUCACACUAAUUAACCCAAAUCUAGAAUGUAAACCCUUCAUUUCCAGGUGAAGAAGUCAGGCCUCCUAAUAUGUUCAGUUCAAUAUUCCUGUCUACUCCUCCCCCCAAUCACCACCAGGUUAUUUUCAGUAUUUGCAACAGUGUCUUCUUUAAUGGCAGAAGCCACUACAUACAAAUUACCUCUCAUUCGCUUGUCUGGCAGUUAAUGCUAACUGUAAGCUGGGAUCACUGCUAAGACUACUGGCCAAAUACUUGCACAAAGCCUCUCCAUAUAAGCCUUGAAUUCCUUAUGGUGUGGCUAGAUUGCAAGAGCAGGUGUCAUCAAAGAGAGGCCCAAGUAGAAAUUGUGCCGUCUUUUCUAACCUAGCCUCAGAAGUUGAAGUCGUACAUCAGCACUCUCUCAUCUUCUGUUUGUUAGAAGUGAGUCACUAAAGACCCGUAUUCAAGGGAAGAGGAAAAGUGUCAAAGGAUUUGGAAAUACGUUUAAGCCACCACAAUAUGUCACAAAUUACUCACAUUCCUACCACUUACAAAACACCUUCAUCAUUCCCCAGACCUUCCCAAAGACUCUCAUCUCACUGCAACAUCAGGAUCAGGUUCAGGGUCAGGAUUUCAUCAUCUAAGCCAGAUCCAGAGGCAGAUGAGAUUCCUUGGAUGUGGUUCCUUUAAUACAUCUCCUUGAGGACAGUCCUUAAUCUGAAGACCUGUGGACUGAAAAGGAAAGUGAACUUCUACUGCUUCCAUCAACAUAUAAUGAUGGGGCAGGAUAACUGCUAUGGACCCUCCUGUUUAAAAAGAAAGUGAAAAUGGAAGGCACACAAAAGUUACUGCUCCAUGGCCAUUUUGAAAUACAGCAGGGCACAUGUUGCUGUUUCCUUGAUUAGAGCUUAGUCCUACUACCUAGGAACGAUUCUCCAGUUGUUGGCUUUUCAGGCUUUGUUUUGUUUUGCAUUUUCUUGAAUAUAAGCGUAAUCCUUCCUUGCACAUAAGAAAUGGUUGGUGAUGCAGCUGUGUAGAUUCCUUGGCCUGCUUCCUGCUCUUAUUAAGGGAUCCAAACAUUUUCUUUCACAUUGUAAUAUCUCUGUAUCUUUCAAUUCAAGUCAACAGUGUUUCUGUUAGUACAAUUUUCUUAAAAGUUUUGUGGGUUUCCUAUGAAUCGAUUGAGAGUCAAUCCAUUAUACGAAAGCAGCUUUCACAAAUCUUAUCAUGAUAAACCAUUCUCUAUCUUGGCCUUCUUUUAAGUCUCCUAUGGAACAAUGACUGUGAGAUCCUUAAAAGACCUCUUGUUCAAUGGAGAGAGUCUGAGGCACAACCUCACUAUCUUUUGAAGGACUUUUGUCUGUUUGAAACAUCAUCUUAACCUUUUCUGUGAUUUUACCCAAAGUCGUAUAAUUGUAUUCUAGGCUGUAUGUUUACAUGAUAUUUUCCUGAUGGUACCCUGGAUUUGAACUCUGCCUAGAAGCCAUUUCUUAAUUUUAGCAGUAUUCGCCACCUGGAAAAAAUCUGGAAAUGGGAAAGAUUUAUUUUCCAAACAACAAGCCCUUGUUGUUUUAUAGUUAAAAUCAUUCUUUAGCUUUUUCCUUUCUUCUUGCAUUUUACUAGAAGCAGCCAAAGGAACCCAAGCAGCAACAAGCACAGUUUUCCUUGAAGCCUUCUCAGCUAGGACAUCCAGUUCAUUAUGUAUAUUUCCUGGUUUUUAUGUUUCUGAGAGUCAACUUUCACCACUAUUUAACAGGUGUACCUUUUUCUUUAGUUUCCAGUAAGAUCUUUUCACACUCCUUCAAAUCCAAACUACAGCAUCCUAGAGGUUUCCACUAGGAGCAUCUUUGAAGUCAUUUUGUCUUAACAUUCCCCUUCUAGCUUACACUCAAAGCCACUACCUAUAAUUUAGAUUUUUGGUUGCAGCAACACACCUCUUUUAGGUACCUGAAUGUAUUCCACAUAUCUCUGCUUAUGUAGCAAACCACUGCAAAACUUAAUGGUUUAAAACAAGAACAUCGAUUAUGUAACUUAAUGACAAAAACAAACAACCUGGUUAAAGAUGGGCAAAGAACCUGAAUAUAUGUUUUGCUAAAGAAUACGUGCAAAUGGCCAAAAUGUACAUGAAAAAGUGCUCAACAUCCUUAAUUGUCAGGAAAACGCAAGUAAAAACUACAAUUAAAUAUCGCUUCCCAUCUGCUAGGAUGGCUGUUGCCAAGAAGACAACAAGUAACAAGUGGUAAGGAUGUAAAGAAAAGAGAACACCUGUACACUGUGGGUGAGAACAUACAUUGGUACAGCCAUUAUGGAAAACAGUAUAAAGGUUCCUUUAAACAAUAAAAAUAAAAAAACUACCAUAUGAUUCAGCAGUCCUUCUUCAGGGCAGUAUAUCAAAAGGAGACCGAAUCAGUAUCAUAAAGAGGUCUCUGCACUCCUGUGUCCAUCCCAGCAUUAUUCACAAUAACCAAGAUAUGGAACAAUAUAAAUGUUCACUGAUGGAUUCAUGGAUAAAGAAAUUGUGAUAAGAGGUGUUGUGAUAGAGAAAUGUUGCCAUUUUCAACAAGCUGGAUAAAAUGAGAAUAUUCUACUAAGCGAAAUAAGUCAGAUACAGAAAAAAAUACCACAUGAUCUCACUUACAUGUGGAACCUAGAAAAGUUUAAUUCAUGGAAGUAGAGCAUAGAUUAAUGGUAGGGGUGGGGGAAAUGGGGGGUGUUGGUCAAAGAGUACAAAGUGGCAGUGAUGCAGGAUGAGCAGGAAUGGGGAGCUAAUGUACCAUGUGAUGACUAGUUACUACUGUAUUGGAUACUGUAAAUUUGCUAUGAUGAUAGAUUUCAGGUGCUCUGACCCCCUCAACCCCACAAAAGUAACUGUAUUGAGAUGGAUAUGUUAAUGCACUUGACUGUAGGAAUCAUUUCCCUGUGUGUGUGUAUUUCAGAACACCAAGUUGUACACUUUAAACGUCUGUCAUUUUUAUUAAAUAAAUAAAUAAUGAAACAAA